AGAAAAGCAGGGGAUCGCAAGACCUUGCGCUUUUGGAGCGGCCGAUGUCUGAUUAGCUAGUUGGUGAGGUAAAGGCUUACCAAGGCUUCGAUCAGUAGCUGGUCUGAGAGGACGACCAGCCACACUGGGACUGAGACACGGCCCAGACUCCUACGGGAGGCAGCAGUGGGGAAUUUUGGACAAUGGGGGAAACCCUGAUCCAGCCAUGCCGCGUGAGUGAAGAAGGCCUUCGGGUUGUAAAGCUCUUUCAGCCGGAACGAAAAGGUUACGGUUAAUACCCGUGACUAAUGACGGUACCGGAAGAAGAAGCACCGGCUAACUACGUGCCAGCAGCCGCGGUAAUACGUAGGGUGCGAGCGUUAAUCGGAAUUACUGGGCGUAAAGCGUGCGCAGGCGGUUUUGUAAGUCAGAUGUGAAAUCCCCGGGCUCAACCUGGGAACUGCGUUUGAAACUACAAAGCU
rnacentral:rRNA from 1 species